UACGAAGGGGGCUAGCGUUGCUCGGAAUCACUGGGCGUAAAGCGCACGUAGGCGGAUUGCUAAGUCAGGGGUGAAAUCCUGGAGCUCAACUCCAGAACUGCCUUUGAUACUGGCGAUCUCGAGUCCGGGAGAGGUGAGUGGAACUGCGAGUGUAGAGGUGAAAUUCGUAGAUAUUCGCAAGAACACCAGUGGCGAAGGCGUCUCACUGGCCCGGUACUGACGCUGAGGUGCGAAAGCGUGGGGAGCAAACAGG
rnacentral:rRNA from 1 species